GUGCCAGCAGCCGCGGUAAUACAGAGAGUGCGAACGUUGUUCGGAAUCACUGGGCUUGAAGCGCACGUAGGCGGCAUUGCAAGUGUCGGGUGAAAGCCCACGGCUCACCCGUGGAACUGCCCGGCAGACUGCAGUGCUCGAGUGUGGUAGGGGAGAACGGAACUCCUGGUGGAGCGGUGAAAUGCGUAGAUAUCAGGAGGAACACCGGUGGCGAAGGCGGUUCUCUGGUCCACAACUGACGCUGAGGUGCGAAAGCCAGGGGAGCAAACGGGAUUAGAAACCCCGGUAGUCC
rnacentral:rRNA from 1 species